AACUCGUUAGCUUUUUUUAAGAUUUCCUCAAAAACCGCAUCGUAGAAGUCCCGGUAAUUUCCCUGAACAGUAGGAACCGUAAUUUUAGUUGGUUCAGGCAAAGCUUUCACGUCAGCAUCCAAAGGAACAGUCCAUAAGUUUCCAUAGAGCUCAAAUCUAUCAGUUCCAAAUCCAUGAUCGUUAGGCUUCAUUCCUGAAUGUAAUUGUGACUCUUGUGGGUCAAACCCAAAUUUCAUAAAAGAACCACGAGUGCCCUUAAUACAGAAUCGCAUUUCACAGCCGCAUGACACAUUAGUAGAAGACAGAAUUACGUUGAUUGGAAGUUUGUUUCCUUUAGCAGGGUAAUGAAGAAUAAUACGAAAAUAAUCUUCCACCUCCAAAGGAGGAAUUUGACGUUGAGCUUCCAGCUUGGCAGUAACAGAGUAAGGCGUGCCAAACAAGGAGACUGCUUGAUCAAUUAAAUGUGAGCCUAUCCCGUACACCAUUCCGUUCCCGGGUCUAGGUUCAUCUUUCCAACUUCCAGAUUUUCGACCCAGACGGUAUCGAUCAAAGUGAGAUUCGAAUUCAACAACUUGACCAAGUCUUCCGCUUUCUAUUAUUUUUUUAGCAGUCAGAAAAUCACCAUCCCACCGACGAUUUUGAUAAAUUGCCAGUAGUAGGCUUUUUGAUUCGGCAAGUUCAUAGAGCUCUUUGGCUUCCUCAUAGGUAGGAGUAAACGGCUUUUCACAAACCACAUGCUUACCAGCGUUCAAAGCUUUUUUUACAAUUUCAGAAUGAACAUUGGGAGGUAGGGAAACUACGACCAACUCAAUAUUGACGUCGGCUAAUAAUUCAUCCAAGUUUGUAUAAACCAAAAUAUUGGGAUAUGCAGAGCGUGCUUUGGAUUGUGUAACUGUUGCCCUACGUUCUAAACAUGCAUAAAUUUCAAAUUUUGAAGGUAAAGCUUCAAGGAAUGGGAAAUGAAAAACAAAAGCUGACACACCAGUUCCAAGCACUGCAGUCUUAAUCGGAGGCAUAGUUUAACUUAAUCAAAGUAAUGAUUUGUAAGCUGUAGAAUACAGAAAUUUUUUUAAUACGAGAAAAUAUCGAACCGCUAAAGGAAGAAUUUUACUAACGACAGUGUAAGCAUA